UACGGGGGGGAGCAAGCGUUGUUCGGAAUUACUGGGCGUAAAGGGCUCGUAGGCGGCCAACUAAGUCGGAUGUGAAAUCCCCGGGCUUAACCUGGGAAUUGCGCUUGAAACUAGGUCGCUAGAGUGUGGCAGAGGGGGGUGGAAUUCCACGUGUAGCAGUGAAAUGCGUAGAGAUGUGGAGGAACACCGAUGGCGAAGGCAGCCCCCUGGGUCAACACUGGACGCUCAUGCACGAAAGCGUGGGGAGCAAACAGG
rnacentral:rRNA from 1 species